CUACGAGCUCAUACGCGCAAUUAAGGUAUGUUAAGUCUAUCCCUUCUUUCUUUUUGGCAUGAUCCAAGUGAUGCAAACGAAACGAGCAAAAUACGCAACUCUCAUAAAUGACUCUAUUCAUAAAAAUACCAGGGGUGUCUAUAUUCUUGAUUCCACAUGUGAAUUAUUAUUAUAUCCUCUGUUCAUGGGUCUCAGAAAAAUAUGUAUUUGAUAAAGUUUGUCCGAAAGGCAUAUUAAUUUUAUAAUAGUCGAGAAAUCUUAUUAAUGUAUUUCUUAUGCAUUUCAUGCAUUUAUACAUUUACAUUGACCCAUGACCAGAAGGCGUUAUAUACGCGUAUAUUAUAUGUAUAUGGGAUAUGGGAAAAGGUUACGGCGUUAUAUACGCACCACCACCUGAUCAGUUGGUAUACGUUGAUGAUUUUCCCACAGUGGCCGAGAUGAUAUGAUGGGAUGCCCUCAGAGGUUUGAUGAUGUUAUGUACGCAUAUACCUAUGCAUGGUAUGACAUUUAUACGUAUAUGUAUGAUAUUAUAAAUAUGAAAUGAUUCACAGGGUUAUUCAGACUUACAUGUCUUUUACUCCAUGUUUCUCUCAUGUCUAUUAUUUACUAAUUUUUAUUCCUUACAUACUCGGUAUAUUAUUUAUACCGACGUCCCUUUUGCCUGGGGACGCUGCGUUUCAUGCCCGCAGGUCCUGAUAGACAAGUUGCGAGUCCUCCAAGUAGGCUAUCAGCUCAGCGGAAGGUAUUAGUACGCUCUAUUUGCUCCGGAGUUGCUUAUUUGGUCAGUAUGAUUUAAACAUGUAUUAAUUAGUAUGGCGGGGCCCUGUCCCGACCUUUAUGGUAUUCAUCUACUCUUAGAGGCUUGUAGACAUAUGUCAUGUACGUGAAAGAUUGUACGGCCUUAUCGGCCUAUGUUCAAUGUACGAGUGAUCAUUUUGGUCUUAUAAGCCCGUAUGUCAUAUGUAUAAG
rnacentral:lncRNA from 1 species